AGUGAACGCUGGCGGCAGGCCUAACACAUGCAAGUCGAACGGCAGCACAGGAGAGCUUGCUCUCUGGGUGGCGAGUGGCGGACGGGUGAGGAAUAUAUCGGAAUCUACCCUUUCGUGGGGGAUAACGUAGGGAAACUUACGCUAAUACCGCAUACGAACUGAGGUUGAAAGCGGCGGACCGCAAGGCGUCGCGCGGAUGGAUGAGCCGAUAUCCGAUUGGCUAGUUGGCGGGGUAAAAGCACACCAAGGCGACGAUCGGUAGCUGGUCUGAGAGGAUGAUGCGCCACACUGGAACAGAGACACAGUCCAGACUCCGAGGGGAGGCAGCAGUGGGGAAUAUUGGACAAUGGGCGCAAGGCUGAUCCAGCCAUGCCGGGUGUGUGAAGAAGGCCUUCGGGUUGUAAAGCACUUAUGUUGGGAAAGAAAAGCGGUCGGUUAAUACCCGGUCGUUCUGACGGUACCCAAAGAAUAAGCACCGGCUAACUUCGUGCCAGCCGCCGCAGUAA
rnacentral:rRNA from 1 species